UCCAACCCUGAUAUUCUAUGAUUCUAAAUCCUCUCUCUAUAUGCUCUCUCUAAGGGUGCACUGUUACACAGGUACAUAGCACUGAAAGGGACCUCUGGGACCAUCACAUUCAGUCCCCUGCUAUCACAGGCCACCCCAUCAUAUGAUCGCAUUCAUCAACUGAUCAAGUUCCACUGUAAAAACUAGUUAGGUUCCUAUUCUUGUUUAAUUAAUUAAAUGAAAAUUGUCCUGAUCUGGGAUGGAUACACUUUGUUCUGAAAAGUUGAUGGCUUUUAAAAAUACUUUUAAGACACCAAAACCCAAAAUCAGAUCAAAUCAGCAGUGUUAAAUGUAUCACUCUUUUGGGUCGGCACGCAGGAAUGUUUGAGGCAUCGAUUUGUAACACUGAAUUGUCAUUUUGGGGCCUGGUUUUCUAAAGAGCUUAGGACCUACUAGCUCCCAUUAAAAUAGCAUUUGAAUGGCUCUUCAUUUCACAGACCACGCAUUAUUUAAAAGACUCUUCAUGUAAGAUUAAACACAUGCACCCGUGUUUUCUGGGUCAGGUUCUAAAUCAGUCAGGUGUCCCCAGACACCAGAAAACACUCUGGAGAGAGUGCAUUUUUGACAUCAUUUCAAGCUCUGAAAGGAAUCUGGAAUAUUAAGUGUAUCAUGCUUGGUAUUGCCAUACUCAAUGGACAGCUGCUGUGUGAAGCCAUUGUUAUUUUAAAAUAAAAUUGUUCUGUCCUUUUUCCGUCAUUUUUUUGAGCAGACAACAGGAAAAUUUAAUCCAACAGCUGGAAAACCUUACCUAGCAGUUGAACAUUUGCCAAGCCCAGAAUGCAAAUGCCUCAGAGACUCCGCAGCAUCUGACACAGGAGAGAGGACACAAAAGCAGCCCCUGUCCAGAGAGGUGGAUACAUCAGGGACAAGCCUCUUACCUCUUUUCCGAUGAAAGCAUCUCUUGGCAAAGAUCCAACUCCUUUUGCUCCUCUCAAGAGUCCAGGUUUCUUAAGAUUGAUGGCAAGGAAGAGCUGCAACGGAGGGAGCAGGAAGAAGAAGACUCUGAUUCCCCACCUCACAGUCUCCUUCCCAGGCUGUUGGAGGGGUAGCACAACCCUUAUGCUGGGCAGAUUGUAAUGUCACACUCUACCCCCAUGAUUUCAUAAGAAAAGCAUCCCAUCAAUAUGUUGAAGAUCGCCAAGGCCUUCCCUAUUAUUUCCCUUUCUGGACUGGAUUAUUGUAUGACCCCAGCACCAAGAAAUGGGUCUGGAUGGAUGGCGCAGCUCUGCCCUCUGGCCUGUUUCACAUCCCAGGAGGCCGCAGUGACAGUUUUCAGAGUGGAGCUUGUGCCUAUUUCCAAGGAGGGAACGCGAAAGCCGGAAACUGCAGAGAAACUCGAUUCUGUAUUUGUGAGAGGACCAGGGUGGUAACAGAUCAACUAGACUGAGCCCUCAAACAAAUCACCCAGCAGGGAGUGAAGGACUAGACUCAGGGGAACGUGGAGCUGCAGAGAGAAAAUAUGUCUCAGCACGUCACGCUAUCCUCCAAAAAGGACCCAGAAUUUUAUAAAGCAAUUUGUAAAAAUGCUUGCAGAAAUACAAAUGAGUUUGUGCAACAAGGAGAGCCAGAGUCAGCCCUUCAGAGUGUAAUACAACAAUUUUAGCCAAUAGACACCCACCUUCAUCAGCCAAUCAGAUUGCUCCCACUGGCCCAAAGUACCAGUGUCCCAUUAAGAAUUAUUUGCACAGCUCAAGUUCUCCGUAACCAGGUUUUCAGUUUGCUGGCCCAACCAAAAAAGUAAAAAUAAGUUAGAAGGCCAAGCAAACCACUUCAUUUGUUUUUUUUUUAAAAACCUUUUCAAACAGAUAAAAUUGAGGCAAAAUUUGAAAUGAAGUCAUUUGUAUCAAAGUUUCAGAAUUUAUAUUUUUCUUUCCCACUGGAACAAUUUGGCAAAGCAAACGCAAGUUCAUAAAAUGUUACAGUCAACCUCAAUCUACAUUUUGCUGCUGAAAAAAGUUACACAAAACAAUGGCAUCUAGCUCUACUGAGAAUUAAAUGCUAGGAUGUUUGUUUCCAGCUGGUAACAAAAUGCAAAACGGUGAAUGACUUCUCCUGGGGUCCCCCGUGUUAUCACUAGUUGUGUGUGACUAAGGUCUGCCUCUUUCAGCGAUCAACUUCUGCUUCUUGUGUUUCAGUGAUGCUAUAAUGCUAGGUUUGCAUCAUCACCUAAUCUUGUCUCGUUGGCUGUUUGAUGGGAUGGCAUGUGGAGCCCUGAGGACAAAACUUAAGUCAUCAGAAACUUUGUGUGUCUGUACAGGUCUAUGCCCAGUUCCUUGCGCUGUGUUAUUACUGUGCUAAGUCUGAGAUAAUGAAUUUAAACAAUUGUUAAUGAAAUCAUACACAAAACAGCCCUGAGCACUUCUGCAUGCACUUUGAUUUUAUUAGAUGUAUGCGAAUAGUGAGGAUAAGACAAAUUUAGCAUUCAGAAUAAAUCAAAUUAGCCUGGUUAAGAAUAGAUUCUCCAAAGACAGUUAGCUGGCUGCAUCACAUUGGAUAUAAAUAAAAGGUAAUUUAACAAUGCCAGAGUGG